rnacentral:rRNA from 1 species
GACGAACGCUGGCGGCGUGCUUAACACAUGCAAGUCGAACGAAGUGGCGAACGGGUGAGUAACGCGUAAUCAACCUGCCCUUCCGAGGGGGACAACAGUUGGAAACGACUGCUAAUACCGCAUACUGAAGGAGGGGAUUGCGUGUGAUUAGCUAGUUGGAGGGGUAACGGCCAACCAAGGCGAGGAUCAGUAGCCGGUCUGAGAGGAUGAACGGCCACAUUUGGACUGAGAAACGGCCCAGACUCCUACCGGAGGCAGCAGUGGGGAAUCGUCCGCAAUGGACGAAAGUCUGACGGAGCAAAGCCGCGGGAGUGAUGACGGCCUUCGGGGUGUAAAGCUCUGUUAAUCGGGACGCGGUACCGGAAUAGAAAGCCACGGCUAACUACGUGCCAGCAGCCGCGGUAAUUC